rnacentral:rRNA from 1 species
GAUAGGGCUUUCCCUUCGGGGACAGAGUGACAGGUGGUGCAUGGUUGUCGUCAGCUCGUGUCGUGAGAUGUUGGGUUAAGUCCCGCAACGAGCGCAACCCUUGAUCUUAGUUGCCAGCAUUCAGUUGGGCACUCUAAGGUGACUGCCGGUGACAAACCGGAGGAAGGUGGGGAUGACGUCAAAUCAUCAUGCCCCUUAUGACCUGGGCUACACACGUGCUACAAUGGACAGAACAAAGGGCUGCGAGACCGCAAGGUUUAGCCAAUCCCACAAAUCUGUUCUCAGUUCGGAUCGCAGUCUGCAACUCGACUGCGUGAAGCUGGAAUCGCUAGUAAUCGCGGAUCAGCAUGCCGCGGUGAAU